GAAGAGAAGCUUGUUUUAAACCGAGAGCACGUUACAGAAAGCAAAAGCUCUUUCAAGAACUCAUCCCCUAAAUUCUUGGUUUGGAAGAUGUGGAAACUCGACUUUGAUGUAGAUGACAGAUUCGAGCAGUUACGAUGGCUCAGUACUUUCAGGAAAAUGCUGGAGCAG